rnacentral:rRNA from 1 species
GACGAACGCUGGCGGCGUGCCUAAUACAUGCAAGUAGAACGCACAGUUUAUACCGUAGCUUGCUACACCAUAGACUGUGAGUUGCGAACGGGUGAGUAACGCGUAGGUAACCUGCCUGGUAGCGGGGGAUAACUAUUGGAAACGAUAGCUAAUACCGCAUAAUAUUAAUUAUUGCAUGAUAAUUAAUUGAAAGGUGCAAUUGCACCACUACCAGAUGGACCUGCGUUGUAUUAGCUAGUAGGUGAGGUAACGGCUCACCUAGGCGACGAUACAUAGCCGACCUGAGAGGGUGAUCGGCCACACUGGGACUGAGACACGGCCCAGACUCCUACGGGAGGCAGCAGGAGGGAAUCUUCGGCAAGGGACGAAAGUCUGACCGAGCAACGCCGCGUGAGUGAAGAAGGUUUUCGGAUCGUAAAGCUCGGUUGUAAGAGAAGAACGGGUGUGAGAGUGGAAAGUUCACACUGUGACGGUAUCUUACCAGAAAGGGACGGCUAACUACGUG